rnacentral:rRNA from 1 species
GACGGAGGAUGCAAGUGUUAUCCGGAAUCACUGGGUGUAAAGCGUCUGUAGGUGGUUUAAUAAGUCAACUGUUAAAUCUUGAGGCUCAACCUCAAAAUCGCAGUCGAAACUAUUAGGCUAGAGUAUAGUAGGGGUAAAGGGAAUUUCCAGUGGAGCGGUGAAAUGCGUAGAGAUUGGAAAGAACACCGAUGGCGAAGGCACUUUACUGGGCUAUUACUAACACUCAGAGACGAAAGCUAGGGUAGCAAAUGGG